AUCAACCGGAUACAAAUGUAUUGUAGUCCAUAAGCUUGUGAAAGCCGAGAUCUAUGACCUAAUAAUAUAUAUUUCAGUGUGUGAUAUAAUCCACAGCAACAGAGGUCAUGAGACACCAUCAAGAGAUGGAUAAAGGACUACAAUGUCCGAGAUAGAUAUGGUAUUGCUUAAAGCAAGAAAGAUCGAUGUCCACAUGUGAGAUACAUGAGAGUGUUCGGCCACAGAGCCAUAAUGAGAGAUUAUAAAACUCACAGCAAUGAUCA
rnacentral:lncRNA from 1 species